GCCCACCACCAUACCAUCCAGAACGCACCUGAUCCCAUCUGAUCUUCAAAGCUAAGCAGAACGGCUCAGCACGCACUCACUCUGUACCAGGUGUGGGUC
rnacentral:rRNA from 1 species